rnacentral:lncRNA from 1 species
CUAUAAGUGGUCCUAUUGGCAGAAGUUCCGGAAACAUGGUGAAUGCGUCAGACUCGAGCUCAUAUGUUGAGUUACAAAAGUGGAAAUUUACCGCCAUCAUUGCUCUGCUGUUUCUUUCCAGUAAAUCAAAAAAAAUCUUUUGCGUGGUCAAGUCACCAAUAUGUGCCCAAAAACAGUCUCUAGAGUUCAUUUCAGGCAUCUUUGGUGCAAUUCGAAACAUCUGCAUGCUCAUAGGAGUUCCUGAAGUUGAAUACAAAACAAAGAAAAUAACAGUAGCAUAAAGUAAACUACUACUAUGACAUGCAUCAAAAUUAAAGUUUGCUGGAGGAAAGUAAGGAAUUAAAUGACAUGGAAUCAUACCGUGACUGUCAAUGAUUCCAUCAUCAAUAAGUUUGGGGAUACGAAAUACAAAGGCCACUGAUGCUGCCGAUGAAGGCCAAAAGACAGCCCCCCUGACGUUCAUCUUUUUUGCUACCUCCAUAGACCAACCCGUGUUCCCAUCUGCAAUGAAACAAUCAAUUUUUUCAUCUUCUCUACUGUUGAUCUCUUCUAUGAGCUUCUCCAGCUUCCCCGGCAUAACCUGUAAACAUUUUUCAAUUAGCUUUCCCAAAUCGUUUCUAUCUUCCCAGGGUUCCAUCCCAUCUGGGAUCGAAACCAAACGGAUUUGCUCCGCAAGAUAAUUCUUUCCCUCCAAUGAUUCCACUACCCGCUUGUGAUCAUACUCCGUAUUAACGAAUGUGACUCGGAAGCCAUGUUUUGCCAGACAUUGCGAAAACUCCAGUAAAGGAAUUACAUGGCCCUGUGCUGGAGCAGGCAUCACCAAAACGUGUGGACGGCUCAUUUUCUUUUUUAUUUUUACCUCACUGAUUCGGUUUCUAUCAAUAUAUAAUAUUAUAAUUUGCAACACACGAGUGGUGUUGAUUACGGGGAGGGUUGCAGGUUGGGGCCGGGUUUUCUCAAGAUCAGAUCCAUAUAAUUGAUACUAGAUCCAGUUUUGUGAAUGUUCAUCGAAUUUGAACGGGUUUGGGCCUGGGCCUGACUUGGGCCUUCAAUAAUUUUGUUAAAUAAAUUUUUAAUUAAGCUAUAUGUUAAAAAAAUAUUUAAAUUAAGAUGAUUAUUAUUAUUAAACAAAAAAAAAAUAUUAAUUGCUCCCCUGAAUGGGCCUAGGUCGGUCACCUCUGAGCAAAUAUUUGCAUUUAUUUUUCUUCAUUCCUUUUUCUCUUCUUCUUAUUAUUUAUUAUUGUAAAUUAAAAUUAUUUAUUUUGUAGAUAUUAAUUAUGUUUAUGUAUUGUAAUUUACAUAGAAACUUAAGACUCAUAUUUAUUAAAAAUGAUGUUAAUCCAGAAUGGAUCAAUGGAUUUAACUCUUUCAAUUAAAAAUGAUUUUUUUAAUUUUGUUUUAUUUUUUAAUUUAUAAAUUAAAGAGCCUAGGUUUUUUGCAAAAUCCUUUGACCAGGGCACUCAGAGUGGGUUUUAAAUUUUUUAGCCAUAUCCAUGAUUUUAUGAUGCUAGCUCCAACCUAUACUUUUUUGCAGAUCCUAAUUAAGAGUGAUAUUCUAGCUUAAGAUUUUUAUUUCAAUUCUAUUUGAGUCAAAUGAAAUAAGUAUAAGUUUAAAAAUAUUGAUUUAUUUAAGAAAUAAGUGAAUUUAUUUUGAUUCAUUAAAUAAACGAUUAAAUCUAGGUUUGAGUUCACUUAUUCGAUUAUUCGGUUAAAAUUUAUUUAUUAAUCAAGCCAUAAAUAAAUAGAAUAAUAAAUGACCUUUUUAACAUAAUUACUUUUUUACCAUUAAAAUUCAAAAAUCUUGUUAGAACAUUUUCAAGGUAUACGGUUAGUUUUGUAAUUAUGAAAGAUAAUAAGCCAAACAAGAAAAUGAAAGCAAAGGCAUCAUUACUCAUUAGCCGACCCUAGCUCCACUCUUCAGCACUUGAAUUUGAACACCUGUUUCUUUAUUUCCCAAAUGAAAACGAUCGCCAAACCAAACACUCCCAAAAAAUCAAAUCAAUGGUCUCAUCCAAACUUUUUCGACAAGGUUCACUUCUCUUGUCUAUGGCAAUGACAAGACUUUUUUUUUUUUUUUUUAUUACAUGAGAUUAUUGCUUAAAUUAUAGUUUAAAUUACAACUCAUAUUACAUGAGAGUAUAAUUGAUAUGUACAAUCAUAUAUUUAUACUGAGUCCUGUUGAUAUUAAUGCUGAUAUGACACCGCUCAGAUUUUUAACCCUCUCAAAUAUUCGAGGGAUGUCAAACUCCCAUCCUGGGAGAAAGACUCACUCGAACUCAAACGCUCCAAAAAAAAUAUUUAAAUUAAACCCCUACAAUGCGAUUGCGGAAGCUCGAACCUCUUCCCUCACAAAUGUGAGGGAGGGGUUUUAACCACUUGGGCUUACAUUACAAGACCUUGAAUGGCUACAAUUGGGAUUCUUUUGCUGCUUUUGUCCCCCGCGUGGGAAUUAUUGAUCUCAAUGUUUUGUCGAUUACAAAACAGUGAUUAAGCCUGCUAUUCAGCUUAGAGAUGGCAAAAUUUGGAUUCAAAUUUCGAUGUAACACACAUUUUGAAACUGAAAAAGGUUCAAUAUAGUUACUGCUCCCUGUUGGCAAAUAUGAUAUCAAAGACAGAUACACAAAUAGUCAAAUAUCGACCUGCAUAGGUUAAAAAAAUCAAAAAUGAAAAUGAAGAAUCAUAAAAUUGCAGCAAAUUUAAAUAGCCGUGCAUUCAAUUUCAAAGCAUAAAUGACAUUGAUAUCAAAUCCAAAAUUGAAAGUUUUCCAAAUGCAAAGGACAGAUAAGCCCAAGUGUAAAAGAAAACUAUCAAAUAUCAUUGUAAAUUUAAAUACCCAUCAUACAGAUUUCACCACCUGAAUUUAGGGUAAUUUUUAGAGGCUUCUCUUGAGAUUUGAUGUAUUAACACUUAGAUAGAAAGUAUAACCGUAAUUAUAAAGGCAUCCCCGUCUAUUGUAUUUCCAUUCAAUGACUGUUAGCAGAUCAAUGAAAUGACCAAAAUACACCCUAAAUUUGAAAACACUCUUAUAACAACCACUAGGGUAUUGUUCGUUAAUAGAAUAAAAUAUGUUUUGCUCCUAGUACACGGAUAAAAUAAAAAUAAAUAAAUAAACCAUAACAACCAAAUACAUUACAUACUCAUUAAUUGGAAAAAAAAAUAAAAAAUAUUGGUGAAGAAUUUAACAAUUUCUGAACUUCAAUUAAGAAAAUCAUAUUUGUUUCAAGCAGUUAAAAAAUAAAAAUAGUAUUUCUAUCACAAAACACUCCAUUCUUAACAUUUUUUUUUUCUUAUAGUUCUAUUGAGAUUUACAAAACAACAUAACAUUAGAAAAGAAAAUAUAUAGAUUUAUAGUUGAAGUUACAAACACAAAAAUGUACCAAGUGCAAAAAACAAUUUGAUACAGAACCAACUGAAGAGCUUUUUUGGUUCUUAAGAAUGCUACCAGUUGCACAAUAUUUUGCAGCCAUUUCCUUUGCCUUAAGAAAUUCUUGUCCAACUCUAACUUCAAUCAUUGCCCUUUUCUCUUAUGCUUCUUUGUUUAGUAAAAUCUAUCUUAUUUUUCAUUUUUUAAGCAUAUUCUACCUUCUUCCUUUCUAAUAGUUCCUGUUAAUUACUCAAUAUGUUGAAGAAGAAUCUUAUUAUUUAUAAAUAUGGAAAUUAUCAUUGCACCACUUUUUUUUGCCUUAUAUAUCCAACCACCAUAAAAUUCUAACAUGUUCUCUACACUACAUUUCUUUUUAAAUUUGUAUCAACUAGCCACUUUCUAACUAGCACCGUUAAAUAAUUUAAAUGAAAUGAUAAUUUUACCCCUAAAUAAAUUAAAAGACAUUUUAUCUUAUAAAAGAUUUGAAAAAUAAAAAAUUAUAAUUAUAAAAAUAACCUAAGUUUAAUUAAAAAAUAAAUCCCAAAAUUAGAAUUUUUAUUUUUAAUAAAAAUCUAAAUAAAAAUUAUAAUUAUAAAAAUAAUUGUAAAAUUUUGGGAUUUAAUAAAAAUCCCCUAAAUUAUUAAAAUUUUGGGACUUAUUUUUUAAUAAAUAAAUUCUGUUAUUUUAAUAAAAUUUUGCAAAAUUAUAAUUUUUAAUAAAAAUAAUUAUUAAAAUUUAGCAAAAUUUAAAUUAAAUAAAAAUCAGUUGAGCACCUCUGUUUGGGAUUUAUUUAUUUUAUUAAAUUUAGGGGUAUUUUUAUAAUUAUAAUUUUCUUAUUUUUCAAAGUUUUACAAAUAAUAUGGUCUUUUAAUUUAUUUAGGGGUAAAAUUUUCAUUUCAUUUAAAUUAUUUAACGGUGUUAGUUAAAAAGUGGCUAGUUGAUACAAAUUAAAAAAAAAAAAAGGGGGUGCAGAGAACAUGUUAGAAUUUUUUGAUGGUUGGAUAAACAUAAGGUUGGUGCAGAGAACAUAUUAUAAUUUUAUGAUUGUUGGAUGAACAUAAAGCAAAAGAGAGGUGGUGCAAUGAUAAUUUCCCUUAUAAUAAUGUGAGAUUAACCGAAAGCACACUAAAAUGCCAACCCAAAGGACUUUUAUGGUUGUGGGGAAUUCUUUUAAAAACAAAAGCAAUUAAAAUUGAGCUUAUAUUAUGUGUAAAAAAAAAAAAAGAAGGGUGAAUCGGCAUUAACACAUAAAUAAGUAAUGCAUUUCAGGAUAAUCAAGAGCUCCAUAAGUUUGUUUCUAGGCAAAAAUAUAUUUAAUUAAACAUAUCAUAGCAAAGUCAGUAUUUCAUUUUUAAUCAUCUCAUAACAGAACGAAAUCCUAAGCAAUUAUUAGGAAAGAACUAUAAUGAAUAGUGUUUAAAUGAGAAAUCAAACUCAAAGUUUUAUGAAAUUUAGAUCAAACAUAAGUUUACGGACAAAGACUUAUAGUAUCUGGAUAUUCACAACUAGUGCACACUGAUCAAGUUACAGACAGAUACACAAUAUAUAUAUAUAUAUAUAACAUUUAAAACCCAUUUAAAUCGUAUUUGCGAAUAAACUCACUUAAAUCUUAAAUUGUAAUCACAAAUACGAUUCCAAAAAUUAAUUUCAUUAAAAAAAUCUCAAUUUUUUUUAUUUAAUUUUAUUAUAAAAAUUUGGAAUUAUAUUUGCGAUUACAAACCUAAAACCCACUUUUGUUUAACGUAGAAAUCACAUGAAAAUAAUUGAUUUAUAAUACACAAUGGUUUGUUUAGCUCAUCACUAUUGCAAAUUACACUAAAACACAUGCAACAACUUCUUUAACAACUCAAACACUGCAUUAAAUCCAUUUUCAAACACAACAUCAAAUCAACCAAAAGGCUCUAACUUUAACAUUAUUUGAAAAUUUUCAACUUUUAUGAGGUUUAAUAACUCAUUCGUUCCUUAACUGUCGCCAGCAAUGGCCAACCAACGAUAGCAUUUUCCCGCCGCCAUCACUUCGUUGUUCAUCACUCUUCUUUCAAACUGGGGCUUCUUCGAAUUUGAGCUUCAUUUGGCGAGGUUAGAAGCAUAAAGAGAAAAGUUUGGGCAUGUUUGAGACUUUGAGUGGAUGAGUUGAUCGCUAAUUAGCUUGUGUUUGGAAGAUGAAAGAGAAGAUAUGUCCAAUGCAUCUUUGGAACCAGUGGAUAAUGAAGUGCUCAACGGUCAACUCAUCAUGAGGCUGCUUUUGAUUUUUUCAAAAUUUUAGAUAGUUUUUUUUAUGAAAUUACCCUUAUUCAUUGACAAGAUACUAAAUGAAAUAUAAACGGCAGGGGAGAUAUUUAAUAGUGCGUUCAUACUUUUUAUCUAAGUGUUAAUAUGCUAAAUCUCAAGGAAAAUCCCUAAAAAUUACCUCAUGAAUUUAAAUACCUUUUUACUUGUGCUUUUAUGCUAGUUAACAAGCUGCUAUGUUACCAUUGCAUGUAAUAAGAAUGUUAGUUUAGGUUAAAUUUGGGGUUUUAACACUGUAGAAGUGUCCGAAUAUUGAUGAAAAGUUGCUUGUUUUGAUCUAAUUUCCAUGUGAGUAAGUUGAUUGUUUCAUUCUAAUUUCCAUGUGAUUAAGCUAAAGAAACAAUUGCAAGUUAAAAUUUUUCGGUUUUUAUGUGAUUUUAAUCUUUAAAAAAAUGGGUUUUAGGUUAUUUCCACCAUUCUUGAACCUGUGUUUUGAUGUGAAAAACAAUGUAAAGUUCAAAUUGGUGUUAAAAAUAUUUGUAGGUUAUUUUGAUGUUAAAAAAGAGUUUACAUCUAUAAAUCAAUUUUUGAAUUGCAAUUGAUUAUUCCAUUAUUAAGAUUUCGCAUACGUUUCCUUGAAAUUCAGGGGAACGCACUUUAUUGAAAUUUGAUUGUUAUAUUGGUAAUUUCUAAGUAUGGAUAGAUUUAAAUAAAUGUGUUUCCUUGAAAUUUGAAUCAUUGAAGUGAUCUCUAUAAGGAAUUGUAUGCUUGUUAUAUUUUUCUAUGGUUGGACAGCUGCGAUUUGUAAUUACAUUUUUCUUUAUAAAGGAAUUCCCUUAUGGAGGAUGAUGAGAUGCAAUAGUUUCAUGUUUUGUAAAGUUUCAUCAUGGUAAUAGCGGGUAGGUCUGAUCAAACUUCUAUGUUGUAAGAAAAUUAGAUUCUGAUUAAUUUGAGAUUGAAUGCGUGAGGUGGGGAAUAUUGAAUUUUUGAGGAGGGAUUGUUUUUUAUUUGUGCUUGUUAAGGGUAAAAAUUAUUUUGGCAGUGGUUAGCUUCAUAGUUUGUUGCUAGAAAAAUUAAUAUCGAAUUAAGUUUGAUUCUUAAAACAAGAAAAAGUAGAGUAUGAGAAUUUGAUUCUUACGUUUUAAUAAUAUAUGUGUUAUUACAUUGGUCAUUAAGUUUGGAGGCUAAUUUCUUCUUAUGAAAUAUUAUAUCUUAAUAUUUUGUACUAUUAUGUUAUAUGUGCACAUUAAACUCUUAUUAGUGAGGUGAGUCAUCAUGCUUGAAAUUUUUUGAACUUGGUUUCUCUAUAGAAUUGUAUUGAUUUCCUUUAUAAUCCCCACAUGUUUAGAUCCAAUUUGCCUCAUGAUCUUUUAUUUUAUUACCAUACUGUGUAAGAAGACUUACUUUAAAUUACCUUUCAACUUGGUACUGUGGAUUCUCUUUGUUUUUAUGCUAAAAGCUUUUGUGCUCUACUCGUAGGUGUUUUCAAGUUGGCGUUGUUCCUUGAUACAGCUUGAAGGAUGGUUUUUCUCUCUCAGAUUUUGUCUAUGCUUUCCUGAGAAUGUAGUGAUUUCAUUUCCAUCAAGAUGCAAGUAUACCUAAAAAAAAUUAAGAUUUUAUAAUUUUAAAUAUUAAUUAGUUCUCAUAUAUGUGUGUGUGCGAGCGUGUGUGUCUAUCAUCAGUGCAAUAGCAAUUCCUUCAUUGUGGCUCUGAGUCGUUGUUGAUCUGCUUGAUGUUUUUGAACUUUGUGAAUCCAUGAUUUCAAUUUGAUUGUAAUAUUUAUAACUCUGAAAUUGAAUGUAGAGUUGAGCCAUGAAUAAUAGACAUAAUUUGUGUGUACCUUGGGAGGCAAAUGAAGCAUAUGCGGGGUGUGAGAGAUGGUUUGGAAAUGUAACAUAUUUAUAAACAUUGAUCUACCAAUAUAACCUUUAGUUACCAUAUCUUUUUUUAGAAAAAAAAAAAAUCGGGUUGAUUGGUACUAUGGGUAUUUUGGUCAUUUUAACAGUUCACUAACAGUUAAUGACGGUAGGGGAGGUAAGUGAGAGUACAAAGAAACUCGCUAUUUAAGUGUAAUUACCUCAAACCUCAGGGGAGGUUUCUAAAAAUAACCCCCAAAUAUUGAUAACACAAAUUCUUUAUUAAAGAAAAAUAAAAAAAAAGGGAAUUAUUGAUAGUACCACUAAUUCAAGCUUGAAUCAGUAAUUUUUGUCAAACCUUUGGUUACCAUAUCUUUUUGUUCUUUGGGUCCGGAUAUAUUUUCAAUAGCAUAAUCGGUAAAUCUCUUAGUAUAAUCAUUUUGUAUAUGAAAAUUUUGCAUUUACCCUUAAACAAUAUUUUUUUCUUGUCAAUAUUUUGGGCCAAAUGGUAAAACUAAGAAUGAGAAAUUCAUUCUCCCUUAAUAAAAUUAAAUAUGCAUAAUUGAAUCUUCUACAUUUUACCCCUUUUGUGCAAAGAAUCUUGGAAUCAAUUUGAUCUUUAAUCCAGGUCUUUGUGUAAAUUAAACUCAUGUGCUUUUAAAUAUAGAAUUUUGAUUGAAUGAUCUACUAAGUAAUAAUAGAUGUAGCUAGAAAAAGAAUUUACAUUUUGAUCUCUCAGAGAAUACAAGCAAUGCCCCUUGGGGUUUGUCCCCAACCUUGAUCAUCAUCUUCAUCAUUUUUAGAUGAUUAUGAGAGGAAAAGCAACUGGCUCAAACGUUGUAACAAUGAAGUGUCCAAAUUUCAAGCUGCGAUGGCUUUUCUUGCAGCUCUGAGUAGGCCGUAUAAGCUCCCUUGGCCCUCUCAAUUUUCAUUGCAGCAUCGUGUGCCUCUGGCAUUUCUUCACUCACUUCCUGAUCUUCUACCGAUACCGAUAUUCCUUCAUCACUUAGAACCUCAUGUUUUCUUUCUGCUGCUGCCAUAUUCAAAUAUUAGUACCAAUAAGCCUCGGUUUGUUCAUAUGUAAGAAGGUGUUUCGGUAUCAUUCUUUUUAACUUAUUUGUCUUCUCGCUUUUAUAGCAAUGCUAAUUUUAGCAUCGCACUCUGCUACAACUCAUGCUGAUCAAAAUGUUUCAUAUGAUUUCAAUUUUCCUCGUCCCCUCUUUUGCAUAGCACUGAUCGAAUUCCUAGUAUAGAUUCCUUCAUCUGCAGCAAGGCGUUCUGAGAAGUGCGCAAACAUCCAAGAUCCUCAAAGAUCCAUUCAACAGCUCAUCAACCCUUUUCUUCUUCUGGUGGACGUGGGCUAAAGCUUGUUGAACGGGGGGCAAUUGAAGUAUUUUUUUUCUACAGAAUCUCAUGAAUCUUGAAGGCAGUUCAAUUCAUGGCCUAAUGAUGAAGUAGAAGCAGCUUGAGGAGUCCUUAAUAUUCUCAAAUGCUCUUCAACUUCUGAAGUCUGUGGGUGUGAUCUCGUGGAAAGCUGUUUGGUAAGAGGCAGCCAUCGCUUUUGUUGCUGUGAAUUAGAAGACUAGAAGUUGAUUACCCUGUGCUCAAAUCUCAAAAUGUAUAGCACGAGAUGAGGGAACAACAGGUAUCUCAUCUUCUUAAAAUAAAAAGAAACAAUAACAUGAUUUCAAGCUUGAUCUAAAUAGUAUAUCGGCUACUUUUAGGCUCAGUCUCCUCCCAAACCAGCAUCCUCUCUCAGUUUUUUUAGCCGCUAAUCUCACUAGUAUCUUCUCGUAAGCUAAUACUAAAUAAACAAAUGUUUCCGAGUGAUCCAUAAAAUAAGCAAUACAAGGAUGGCAUCAAUUCUGUUUCCUCUUCUAAAAUGCAAGAGACGGUAAUCCAGUUUGGCUUGCCUCCCCGCGGGAAACGGGGUGGCUGUGAAACUCGUGCGUCCUUGCAGAAUUGAUUUAUUUGAACUGGAUAUAAUAUGCAAAAUCUGCAGUGCAUGGAUGGAGUUGAGGCUGCACCUUGAAUGCAUGGAUGGGUAGUUAAGUCGCCAAAUUAAAACAGGCCCAAAAAGGAUCCGCAGUGUUCAUUGCAGGCAUAUUUGGUGCCAAAUGAAUCACUUGUUUCUUAAGAGAUAUUCAUUGUCUGCUAUGAAAAAAAUUACCAAAAUAGGAAAACAAAUUAAAUUAAAACUCAAUUAAAUAAAAUAAUCCUAAACUCUAUAAACUUAAUAAAAAAACUUAGAAGAUAGAUGUCACAAUGGCCAAGGAAUUCUUAUAUAAUUGUCUAUGAAGGUAGUAUUUUUUGAAUUAGCUGCCCAGUACCUGGGAGCCAUGUGCCAGUGCUUAUGUCUUUACCCAUUGGAGGAAAUUCUGAAAUGUCUUGUAAGAGGAACCACCUUCUCUGACACUACUGAUGGCUUUUUCCUUGAGUUCCAAAGCCCGUGCUUUAAAAUAUUGAUCACCAAGCACUUGAUCCACCUUGUUCUUAAUUUCUUCUCUUGUAAUGAUGCCACUUUCGUCUCUGUCAAACUUCAAUCCCACCUUCCAAAAAUCACAAAUGUAUCUCUCGUUCAGGAAUUGAUCAGCAGAAUAUGGCCAGCACAAGAAAGGAAUGCCAUUGCUGACACCUUCCAUGGUGGAAUUCCAACCACAAUGGCUCAGGAAACAGGCAAUAGAAGGGUGGUUAAGAACCUUCUGCUGAGGUGCCCAGCUGAUCAUCUGUCCUCGAGCAGCAACUCUCUCUUGAAAUCCUUCUGGGUAUCUAUCAUUUGCAUCAGUAGUAAUAUCUGGCCUCACAACCCAUAAAAAUGGUCUGUUGCAAAGUUCUAGUCCCAAUGCUAAUUCUUGAAACUGAACUUGGUCAAGAAUUGUAAGGCUGCCAAAAGCAGCAUAAAUGACAGAGCUUGGUUGCUGUUGGUCUAGCCAUUUCAAACAGUUUGAAUCUUCGCGCCAGAAGUAUCCUGCUGAAUUCCCUUGGCGGUUGCUUGCUAUAAGUGGUCCUAUUGGCAGAAGUUCCGGAAACAUGGUGAAUGCGUCAGACUCGAGCUCAUAUGUUGAGUUACAAAAGUGGAAAUUUACCGCCAUCAUUGCUCUGCUGUUUCUUUCCAGUAAAUCAAAAAAAAUCUUUUGCGUGGUCAAGUCACCAAUAUGUGCCCAAAAACAGUCUCUAGAGUUCAUUUCAGGCAUCUUUGGUGCAAUUCGAAACAUCUGCAUGCUCAUAGGAGUUCCUGAAGUUGAAUACAAAACAAAGAAAAUAACAGUAGCAUAAAGUAAACUACUACUAUGACAUGCAUCAAAAUUAAAGUUUGCUGGAGGAAAGUAAAGAAUUAAAUGACAUGGAAUUAUACCGUGACUGUCAAUGAUUCCAUCAUCAAUAAGUUUGGGGAUACAAAAUACCAAUGCCACUAAUGCUGCUGAUGAAGACCAAAAGACAGCCCCCCUGACGUUCAUCUUUUUUGCUACCUCCAAAGACCAACCCAUGUUCCCAUCUGCAAUGAAACAAUCAAUUUUUUCAUCUUCUCUACUGUUGAUCUCUUCUAUGAGCUUCUCCAGCUUCCCCGGCAUAACCUGUAAAAAAUUUUCAAUUAGCUUUCCGAAAUCGUUUCUAUCUUCCCAGGGUUCCAUCCCAUCUGGGAUCGAAACCAAACGGAUUUGCUCCUCUAGAUAAUUCUUUCCCUGCAAUGAUUCCACUACCCGCUUGUGAUAAUAAUCCGUAUUAACGAAUGUGACUCGGAAGCCAUGUUUUGCCAGACAUUGUGAAAACUCCAGUAAAGGAAUUACAUGGCCUUGUGCUGGACCAGGCAUCACCAAAACGUGUGGGCUGCUCAUUUCCUUUUUUAUUUUUACCUCACUGGUUUGGUUUCUAUCAACCUUGUGCUUUUAUAGGGAUUGUGAGGAGCAGCUCAGCAGCCCAUGUUCGGUUUUCUGUCUUUCUUUUCGUACAAGUAGUAUGUUAUAUGUGUUUAAUUUUGAACCUCAAGCUGGUUAGUGGUUAUCUUCUUAUCUCCCGUUUUUAAGUUCUUUUUGUUCACCCCUUUGUUUUGUUUCCUUCUGCGGUUUGGGUGAUAUGUUUGCUUUUGAACAAACUGCGCCGUUAGAUCCAACGUUUAAAGCAGGAUGCUCGGCUCCAACUUUUCUGGACCCCAAUUUUUAAUGCUCUGUCUACAAUAACUUUUCUGGUUAGUGGUUAUCUUCUUAUCUAUGGUACAGAUUCUGUAACGAACAUCUCCCGUCAUCCCACCAUCCCAUUUUGUAUUGUUUAGUUUCUCACUCCACAUCCAGCCACAUCCAACGGCUGAUGCUGCAGUCUGUAGCUUACAGAUUCUGUAAGCUAGUCAAGUCCUAACUAAAUAAGGUAACUAAAACAAUUUUUCACAUCCUUCCACUAGCAUCUGCUCAAUAUAUAAUAUUUUAAUUUGCAACACACGAGUGGUUUUGAUUACGGGGAGGGUUGGCAAUUUAUAGGUUUGGGCCGGGUUUUCUCAAGAUCAGAUCCAUAUAAUCGAUAUGAGGUUCAGGUCCUGUGAAUGUUCAUCCAACUUGAGCGGGCUUGGGCUUGGGACUUCAAUAAUUUUGUUAAAUAAAUUUUUAAUUAAGUUGUAUGUUAAAAAAAUUUAAAUUAAGAUGAUUAUUAUUAUUAAACAAAAUAAAUAUUAAUUGCUCCCUUGAAUGGGCCUGAACCAGUCACCUCUAAGCAAAUAUUUGUAUUUUUUUUCUUUAUUCCUUUUUCUCUCUUUUUAUUAAUUAUUAUUGUAAAUUAAAAUUAUUUAUUUUUUAGAUAUUAAUUAUGUUUAUGCAUUGUAAUUUACACAGAAGCUUAAGACUCAUGUUUAUUAAAAAUGAUGUUAAUCCAGAAUGGAACGAGAAAUUUAACUCUUUCAAUUAAAAAUGAUUUUUUAAUUUAUAAAUUAAAGAGCCCAAACUUUUUCCAAAAGCCUUUAACCCCGAGUGAGCUUUAAAUUUUUUAGCCAUAUCCAUGAUUUUAUGAUGCUAGGUCCAACCCAUACUUUUUUGCCGACCCUAAUUAUGGGUGAUACUCUAGCUUAGGAUUUUUAUUUCAAUUCUAUUCGAAUCAAAUUAAAUAUGUAAAGGAAUGAAAUUAUUAAUUUAUUUAAUAAAUAAGCAAAUUUAUUUUGAUUCAUUAAAUAAACGAUCAAACCUAGGUUUGAGUUCACUAAUUCAAUUAUUCGUUUAAAAUUUGUUUACUAAUCAGGUCAUAAAUGAAUAGAAUAAUAAAUGACAUUUUUAACAUAAUUACUUGUUUUCCAUUAAAAUUCAAAAAUCUUGUUAAUACAUUUUCAAAGUAAAUUAGUUUUGUAAUUAUGAAAAGAUAAUAAGCCAAAAAAGAAAAUGAAAGCAAAGGCAUCAUUACUCAUUAGCCGACCCUAGCUCCACUCCUAGUUUACUUAUAUAGGAUAACGGAUUUGACUAAUUGUGAAAGUUCACUUGCAUUACUUAAGCAAUUUCUUCAUGAGCAUGUUCCUUUAUAAUAAUGCUAGUAUCUAAACCAGGCACUGGGGAUCCCUUCUCACUCGCUUCAUGCAAAUGCCCAGCAACCAUGUCUCCACCAACAUCACUGAUGUCCCCAAAAAUCAAAAUAAGAAUCCCGAUCGUGGCAGCCAAAAAUGAAACCCCAAAAGCAGUGCUCACAUUUCCACUGAUCGCUGAUGCCACAGCAAAGCCAGUACAAGUUCCUAGUGCUUUUACCCACGAGUGCCAUACAGAAAAAGCACCUUCUUUGCCAUGUGAUGUACAAUCUAGCAACAAAACUCUCCCAAAAGCAUGCAAAAGCCCUGCAGAAGUGCUUUGAAUUGCAGCAAAAAGCAGUACAUGGUGCCUCUGCCAGUUCUUUCCUUGGAGUAGAAUCCCGUACCUGAAGUCAACAGAGCUAAGAGGAAACCCAGAAAUUGCAUUCUCACAGCAUCUGCUUUGAUAACAUGUUGUAACGGAUGCAGUAGUGUCGUUGAAGAUGAUGGUAAUAUGAAGUAAAUUAUCCAUAAGUAGAGGAAAAGUAAAAAAAUAGCCCCAGUGAAAAUGCACAUUGAUGAAAAUCAUGACAUGAAAAUUACAAUCAGGCUUGUAAUUGCAUGAGGAUUUUUAAAAAGGGACAGUGAAUAUGAUUCGGGCAUAGAGGAGGUUGCGUUGGUGAUUGCCCCUGGCUCAGUGUGACAAUAUGGAGCAUGCCAACGAGCCAUUUGAGGACCCUGAAAAUGGACACAAUCCAGAGGCUAACAAAUGGGGCCUUUGUGUUCCUAAGCAUAUGGUAAGUGAAUGCUGAGAAAAUGGCAGAGCCUAAGCCACCACCAGCAGUGGCGUAUACCGAGAACCAGCCUGAGACCCCUCUUCUAGUUGGGGAUUGGCUAAGUUUAAGUGUUGGUCCAGUGUAGCCGCGAGCCAUAAGACCAAGAUGGCGAGUGUGGGAGGCUGAAGCAACAAUGUAUAAUGCAACAAUAGCUGCAAUAUAAAAUGGGAAGAUGCAUGGGGUUUUAAUGAAGCCAACAUGGAGACAAAAGAGGGAACCGAUGGCACUUGCAGCCCUAGCAAUGAGUUGUGGGUUGUAGCCAUGGUCAAGUUGCUUGGAGAUCAAGCCAAGGAAGGGACUAGCCAGAAUUAGGCCUAUAGCCCAUGAAAUUGAAGUCCAUUCCAUUGCUGAUAGAUUCAGAUUAUUCGUUGAUAUUGAUGUGUGUGUUAGUCAAUCAUACCUCCAAUAUAUGAAAAAUAUUUCAUCAUGCUAAAUAUGGACACAUUCAAAACUGACCCUCUGUCUAGUUUAACUGGCCAUGAAUGCGCUUUAUACCCGCGGUCACUCAAGUUUAAGUAAUAAUAAAUCAAGAGUAAGAGUUAAUGAAUUAAUUAAAGGAGAAUGAAUGAAACUUUAUUCCCACUAAGGUCUAAGAAGUUGUUUUUGUUCUUUGGGUUCCGAUAAAUUUUUAAUAGCAUAAUCUGUAAAUCUCUCAAUAUAAUCAUUUUGUAUAUGAAAAUUUCACAUUCACUUAAACAAUAUUUUUUUCUUGUCAAUAUUUUGAGCCAAAUGGUAAUUAAGAGUGAGAAAUUCAUUCUCCCAUAAUAAAAUUAAUAUGCAUAAUUGCAUCUUUUACGUUUUUUACUCUUUAACAGUCUUGGAAUCAAUUCGAUCUUUAAUCCAAUUUUUUGUGAAAAUUACACUCAUGUGCUUUGUAUAUAUAGAAUUUUGAUUGAAUAUUCUACUAAGUAACAAUCGAUGUAGCUAGAAAAAGAACUUACAGUUUGAUCUCUCCGAGAAUACAAGCAAUGCCCCUAGGGGUUUGUCGCCAACCUUGAUCAUCAUCAUCAUCAUCAUCAUUUUUAGAGACAAUUUCACUGAUGAUGAGAGGAAAAACAACGGGCACAACCGUUGUAACAAUGAAGUGUCCAAAUUUCAAGCUUCGAUGGCUUUUCUCGCAGCCCUGAGUAGGCCAUAUAAGCUCCCUCGGACCUCUCAAUUUUCAUUGCAGCAUCGUGUGCCUCAGGCAUGUCUUCAUUCACUUUCUGAUCCUCUACUGAUACCGAUAUUCCUUCAUCAUCACUUAGAACCUCAUGUUUUCUUUCUGCUGCCACCGCUGCUGCCAUAUUCACAUAUUAGUACCAAUUUGGAGGUUGCUUUGUGAAGUUAAAAAAAGGAGCUGAAUUGGCCAGACAUAUAUGUGUAAGUCUCAUUCUUUUUAACUUAUUUGUCUUCUCUCUUUAACGGCAAUGCCAAUUUUAGCAUCGCAUUCUGCUACAACUCAUGCUGAUCAAAGUGUUUCAUAUGAUUUCAAUUUUCCUCAUCACUUCUUUUGCACAGCAAUGAUCGAAUUCCCAGUGUAGAUUCCUUCAUCUGGAGCAAGGCGUUCUGAGCAGUGCUGCAAACAUCCAAGAUCAUAAAAGAUCCAUUUAACAGCUCAUCAACCCAUUUCUUCUUCUGGUGGCCGUUGGCUAAAGCUUGUUGAACGAGGGGCAAUUGAAGUGUUUUUUUUUUUCAACAGAAUCGCAUGAAUCUUGAAGGCAAUUUAAUUCAUGGCCUAAUGAUGAAGUAGAAACAGCUUGAGAAGUCCUUAAUCUUUACAAAUGCUCUUCAACUUCUGAAGUCUUUGAGUGCGAUCUUGUGGAAAGCUGUUUGAGCGAGUAUGGUAAGAGGCAGCCAUUGCUUUUUUUACUUUGAAUUAGAAGGUUAGAAGUUGAUUACCUUGUGCUCAAAUCUCAAUAUAUAUUGCACGAGAUGAGGGAACAAGAGGUAUGUCAUCCUCUUAAAAUAAAAAGAAACGAUAACAUGAUUUCGAGCCUGAUCUAAAUAUUGUAUCGGCUACUUUUAGGCUUAGUCUCCUCCCACACCAGCAUCCUAUCUCAGCUUUUUUAGCCACAAAUCUCACUAGUAUCUUCUCAUAAGCUAAUACUAAAUAAACAAAUGUUUCUGAGUGAUCCAUAAAAUAGGCAAUACAAGGAUGGCAUCAAUUCUGUUUCCUCUUCUAAAAUGCAAGAGACGCUAAUCCAGUUUGGCUUGGCUCCCCGCGGGAAAUAGGCAGAAUUGAUUUAUUUGAACUGGAUAUAAUAUGCAAAAUCUGCAGUGCAUGGGUAGUUAUGCCGCCAAAUUAAAGCAGGCCCAAAAAAGAUCUGCGCUGUUCAUUGCAGGCAUAUUUGGUGCCAAAUGAAUCGCUUGUUUCUUAAGAGACUGACUCCUCACACUAUAGUAACAACUAAUAACAUUCAUUGUCUGCAUUGAAAAAAAUUAACUGCAUAGGAAAACAAAUUAAAUUAAAACUCAGUUAAAUAAAAUAUUCCUAAACCCUAUAGACUUAAUUAAAAAAACUGAAAAAAAUGCAUGUUACAAUGGCCAAGGUAUCCUUCUAUAAUUGUCUACGAAGGUAGUAUUUUUUGAAUUAACCGCCCAUUACUGGGGAAUUAUGUGCCAGGGCGUUUGUCUUUACCCAUUCAAGGAAAUUCUGAAAUGUCUUGCGAGAGGAACCACCUUCUCUGAUGCUGCUCAUGGCUUUUUCCUUGAGUUCCAAAGCCCGUGCUUUAAAAUCUUGAUGACCAAGCACUUGAUCCACCUUGUUCUUAAUUUCUUCUCUUGUAAUGAUGCCACUUUCGUUUUUGUCAAACCUCAAUCCCACCUUCCAAAUAUCACAAAUGUAUUUCUCGUUCAGGAAUUGUUCAGCAAAAUAUGGCCAGCACAAGAAAGGAAUGCCAUUGCUAACACCUUCCAUGGUGGAAUUCCAACCACAAUGGCUCAGGAAACAGGCAAUAGAAGGAUGGUUAAGAACCUUCUGCUGAGGUGCCCAGCCGAUCAUCCGUCCUCGAGCAGAAACUCUCUCUUGGAAUCCGUCUGGGUAUCUAUCAUUUGCAUCAGUGGUAAUAUCUGGCCUUACAACCCAUAAAAAUGGUCUGUUGCAGAGUUCUAGUCCAAAUGCCAAUUCUUGAAACUGAACUUGGUCAAGAAUUGUAAAGCUGCCAAAAGCAGCAUAAAGGACAGAGCUCGGUUGCUGCUGGUCUAGCCACUCCAAACAGCUUGAGUCUUCGCGCCAGAAGUGUCCUGCUGAAUUCCCUAGACGGUUGCCAGCCAAAAGUGGUCCUAUUGGCAGAAGUUCCGGAACCACGGUGAAUGCCUCAGACUCGAGCUCAUACGUUGAGUGACACAACUGGAAAUUUACCGCUCUCAUUGCUCUCAUGUUUCUAUCCAGUAAAUCAAAAAUAAUCUUUUGCGUGUUCAAGUCACCAAUAUUUGUCCAAAAACAGUCUCCAGAGUUCAUUUCAGGCAUAUUUGGUGCAAUCCGAAACAUCUGCUUGCUCAUAGGAGUUCCUGAAGUUGAAUACAAACAAAAAAAAUUGCAAUAGCAUAAAAAAAAACUACUACUUUGACAUGCAUCAAAAUUAAAGCCUGCUGGAGGAAAGUCAGGAA